GUGACCUGCGGAGGAUCAUUAAUUUAUGAGGGGCCCCCGAAGGUCUAUCUAAAAACCCGUGUGAAAAGCUUUGUUGCUUCGGCAGCGCCUUCCUAUGCCUCACGGCGGGGGGAGGGUCAGCCUGCCGGUGGCACAUUUGAAAAACCCUUCAUGCAAAGUAGCAUUUUAAAAUGUCUGAGAGCGCAGUCGAAUGACACUUAAAACUUUCAACAACGGAUCUCUUGGUUCCCGCAUCGAUGAAGAACGCAGCGAAACGCGAUAGUUAAUGUGAAUUGCAGAAUUCAGUGAAUCAUCGAGUCUUUGAACGCACAUUGCGCCUUCCGGUAUUCCGGGAGGCACGUCUGUUUGAGCGUCGGCUAAACCCUUCCGGCCCUCGGCUUUUGUCCGGGGGUACGGGCGUGCUGGCGUCAGGGGACUGAGCCCACCGUGCUCCGGCGCGGGCUGGGUCCUCCCCCGCUUAAACCCGUGGAAGCUAGCGGGCAUGGUCCCGGAUUGCGAACAACUCGUACAACCUACCGUUGCCAGCGACCCAAACCUGCCCCGCCUCCAUCUUUUUGAGAAAGGGAAUUUUUUCCCCGGACCAAUUUUUAAUCUUGACCUCAAAUCAGACGAGGAUACCCGCUGAACUUAA
rnacentral:misc_RNA from 1 species